AGUGGGGAAUAUUGCACAAUGGAGGAAACUCUGAUGCAGCAACGCCGCGUGGAGGAUGACACAUUUCGGUGCGUAAACUCCUUUUAUAUGAGAAGAUAAUGACGGUAUCAUAUGAAUAAGCACCGGCUAACUUCGUGCCAGCAGCCGCGGUAAUACGAGGGGUGCAAGCGUUACUCGGAAUCACUGGGCGUAAAGAGCAUGUAGGCGGUUAAUUAAGUUGGAAGUGAAAUCCUAUGGCUCAACCAUAGAACUGCUUCCAAAACUGAUUAACUAGAGUAUGGGAGAGGUAGAUGGAAUUUCUGGUGUAGGGGUAAAAUCCGUAGAGAUCAGAAGGAAUACCGAUUGCGAAGGCGAUCUACUGGAACAUUACUGACGCUAAGAUGCGAAAGCGUGGGGAGCAAACAGGAUUAGAUACCCUGGUAGUCCACGCCCUAAACGAUGCACACUAGUUGUUGCUAUGCUAGACAUAGCAGUAAUGCAGUUAACACAUUAAGUGUGCCGCCUGGGGAGUACGGUCGCAAGAUUAAAACUCAAAGGAAUAGACGGGGACCCGCACAAGCGGUGGAGCAUGUGGUUUAAUUCGACGAUACGCGAAGAACCUUACCUGGUCUUGACAUAGACAGAAUUUAGUAGAGAUAUAAAAUGCCAGUUUACUGGAGCUGUUAUACAGGUGCUGCACGGCUGUCGUCAGCUCGUGUCGUGAGAUGUUGGGUUAAGUCCCGCAACGAGCGCAACCCUCGUGUCUAGUUACUAACAGUUCGGCUGAGGACUCUAGACAGACUGCCUGGGUAACCAGGAGGAAGGUGAGGACGACGUCAAGUCAUCAUGGCCCUUACGGCCAGGGCUACACACGUGCUACAAUGGGGUAUACAGAGAGUCGCAAUACCGCGAGGUGGAGCAAAUCUUCAAAAUAUCUCCCAGUUCGGAUAGCAGUCUGCAACUCGACUGCUUGAAGUUGGAAUCGCUAGUAAUCGUGAAUCAGCAAUGUCACGGUGAAUACGU
rnacentral:rRNA from 1 species